GGACUACCCGGGUAUCUAAUCCUGUUCGCUCCCCUAGCUUUCGCGCCUGAGCGUCAGUUCCCAGCCAGGACACUGCCUUCGCCUUUGGUAUUCCUCCGGAUAUCUACGCAUUUCACCACUCCACCCGGAAUUCUGUGUCCCUCUCUGGUCCUCAAGUUCGAGAGUUUUCAGAGUCCUUGCUCAGUUAAGCCGAGCACUGUCACUCCAAACUUCUCCAACCGCCUGCGCGCCCUUUACGCCCAGUAACUCCGGACAACGCUUGCCCCCUACGUCUUACCGCGGCGGCUGGCAC
rnacentral:rRNA from 1 species